rnacentral:rRNA from 1 species
UCGAUUUGGAGUUUGUUGCCCUGAGUGAUGGGCUCCGAAGCUAACGCGAUAAAUCGACCGCCUGGGGAGUACGGCCGCAAGGUUAAAACUCAAAUGAAUUGACGGGGGCCCGCACAAGCGGUGGAGCAUGUGGUUUAAUUCGAUGCAACGCGAAGAACCUUACCUGGUCUUGACAUCCACAGAAUCUUGCAGAGAUGCGAGAGUGCCUUCGGGAACUGUGAGACAGGUGCUGCAUGGCUGUCGUCAGCUCGUGUUGUGAAAUGUUGGGUUAAGUCCCGCAACGAGCGCAACCCUUAUCCUUUGUUGCCAUCGGUUAGGCCGGGAACUCAAAGGAGACUGCCGUUGAUAAAGCGGAGGAAGGUGGGGACGACGUCAAGUCAUCAUGGCCCUUACGACCAGGGCUACACACGUGCUACAAUGGCGUAUACAAAGGGAGGCGACCUCGCGAGAGCAAGCGGACCUCAUAAAGUACGUCUAA